rnacentral:misc_RNA from 1 species
GAAAGGCGAAACGUAAUGUGAAUCGCAACUAACAGUGAAUCAUCGAAUCUUUGAACGCAGGCCGCACUUUGCGGUAUCUUUUGAUACCACAAAGUAUUUACGUAUGAGUGUCAGCCAAAUCAACAUUUGGCCCAUGAGGGAAUCAUGACAUUAGUCAUGAAUAACUCAUGUGUACACACGUGUCAUGAGACAUAUCUCUUGAAGCUUUACGCGGUGUCUGGCCUCAUAUGUGAAAGAUUACCCGCUGGAUUUAA